AUGUUGUAUGUUCCAACAUACAAUUUACUCUUUUCACUGUUUAAGGAAAACAGCAUUUCAGGAACAUUUAAUCACAGUGUUGGUGGCGCCCACUGUCGCUGUGGUCUCGCCUUUCCUGUUACUCUAUAACAGGGUUUGGCCCAGUGCCUGCCUGUGCAGCGGACAUGCAGUCAGUGUUCCGACUAAUUGGAUGAAUGGCAGGUUUGCAACAGUUAGACUGUAGCACUUUGUAAUUAUGUAGCAAAAGUUUUAGAGAAAGAUGUUGAUUGCUCUCAGAUGCAAUUUUCUCUGGUAAUUUGUAAGUUUUGUUUUUCAGGGGAAAGCGCGCCCGCAGUCCCCCACUACCUUAAAUUACACAGUCGAGUUUCCCCUAUUUGAGGAAAUCGCAGAGGUCAACACACCGGAGUGCAAUGGGUGAGCCUCGCCCUGGGAGAACCACCUUCUUGAUAAUGGUAUCUCCUCUGCCAGGAGGAUGUUGCCCGGCUUCACGUCCCGGUGCACCACGCCCCGCCGAUGGCAGUGCCGCAGGGCUGAGACCAGCUGGCGGAACACUCCUCGGGCCUCCCCCUCGGUCAGGUAGCCUUGGGCGUCGAGGCAGAGAGAGAGACCAGGCACCCUCAACAUAUUCAAAGGAGAAUCAGCAGGAUGGUGAAGGAUUGCAGAACUGGGUGACAUGAAGAGCAAGGACAUGGAUUAAGGAGAUUUGUUGAACCUGAGGAAGAUAAGAUUCUGGACACGUGAGGGCAGAUUUUCAUUAUCUGAAGGUCCUUCAUUUAAAAGUUUCCUGGUGUGGGUCCUAGUCCCCAGAAAUGGAUGGUGAUACCAUUCAGCAAGAGAGGAAUUCCAGGUCCCACAGGUUCCCAAAAAGGGUGAAAAUAACUAAGUUUGACUUUUGAAUGUGUUUUAAUUUAAAGUUCAUUGGACAUGCAGGUAGAGACAGUGAAUGAGCAAUUAAAAAUACAGGUCUGUCUUUCUCUUUCUGACUUACUUCACUAAUGUAAUAGGCUCUAGGUUCAUCCACCUCAUUAUAUAUGGAAUCUAUAAAGACAGUACUGAUGAUGGUAGUUGCAGGGCAGAAAAGAGACAGACAUUUUGGACCCAGUGGGGGAAGGAGAGGGUGGGAUGAUAUGAGUGAAUAACAUUGAAACGUAUACACUGCCAUAUGUGAAACAGCCUGUGAGAGUUUGAUGUAUAUGACCCAAGGAAGCCAAAGCCAGUGCUCUGUGACAACUUAGAGGAGGUGGGAUGAGAGGGAGGUUGGAGGGGGAUUCAGGCAGACAUAUGCAUGCCUGAUGCCAAUUCAUGUUGAUAUAUGGCAAAAGCCAUCACAAUAUUGUGAAUUAUCUUCUAAUUAAACCAAUAAAAAUAUAUAAAAAAUGUAGGUCUGGAGUUUAGAAGAACAGUUUGGGCUAGAGAUAGAGAUUUGAAAAUUAUCAGCACACAAAUGGUAAAUAGAGGUGUUUUGAUUUUCUUUUUUUAAAGUAGACUUUAUUCUAUAGUGUGAGAACAAAGCUAGGCAGAGGAUGGAAACUCAUGGCAUGUCAGCAUUUAAGGGUGAAGAAAGGAAGAAGAGACAGAGUUCAAUUACUGGAUGAUUAAAGGAAAUCAGAAAGAAUUCACAGAGACAAAGGACAAAAGAAUUUGAAAGAGUUAAAUGUCAACUGAGCAACAAGGAAUAAGAUAGGGAGCGAAGAAGGGUCAGUUGGCUGUGGCAGUUAGUAGGUCACCAGAGACCUUGGAAGGGAAGUUUUGUGGCGUUGAUGAGGCCCAAAGCCAAACAGCAGUAGUAGGUUAGGGAGUAAACGGAGCUUUAAGCAAGAGAGGGCAGUAAAUGUGGAUGACUCGUUUAAGAAGCUGAGGUUAGACAGGGUAAGUGACA